rnacentral:rRNA from 1 species
GACGAACGCUGGCGGCGUGCCUAAUACAUGCAAGUAGAACGCUGAAGGAGGAGCUUGCUUCUCCGGAUGAGUUGCGAACGGGUGAGUAACGCGUAGGUAACCUGCCUGGUAGCGGGGGAUAACUAUUGGAAACGAUAGCUAAUACCGCAUAAGAGUAGAUGUCGCAUGACAUUUGCUUAAAAGGUGCAACUGCACCACUACCAGAUGGACCUGCGUUGUAUUAGCUAGUUGGUGAGGUAACGGCUCACCAAGGCAACGAUACAUAGCCGACCUGAGAGGGUGAUCGGCCACACUGGGACUGAGACACGGCCCAGACUCCUACGGGAGGCAGCAGUAGGGAAUCUUCGGCAAUGGACGGAAGUCUGACCGAGCAACGCCGCGGGAGUGAAGAAGGUUUUCGGAUCGUAAAGCUCUGUUGUAAGAGAAGAACGAGGGUGAGAGUGGAAAGUUCACACUGUGGCGGUAUCUUACCAGAAAGGGACGGCUAACUACGUG